AACGCACAUUGCGCCCGGUGGUAUUCCGCCGGGCAUGCCUGUUCGAGCGUCUCUAUCAACCAUCACGCCUAGCGUGGAACUGGGGAUUGCAGUUUGCUGCAGCCCUAAAUCUCAUAUGCGAUCCCAGUUGGUUCUAUGCGUAGUACAUACCCCGCUACAGAAUCUAAAUUGGAGCCGUCGGCAGUAAAUGGUGUAAGCCCAUUCAUAAGGUUGACCUCGAAUCAAGUAGGGAUACCCGCUGAACUUAA
rnacentral:misc_RNA from 1 species